rnacentral:rRNA from 1 species
GAUGAACGCUGGCGGCGUGCCUAAUACAUGCAAGUCGAGCGAACGGACGAGAAGCUUGCUUCUCUGAUGUUAGCGGCGGACGGGUGAGUAACACGUGGAUAACCUACCUAUAAGACUGGGAUAACUUCGGGAAACCGGAGCUAAUACCGGCUAAUAUUUUGAACCGCAUGGUUCAAAAGUGAAAGACGGUCUUGCUGUCCCUUAUCGAUGGAUCCGCGCUGCAUUAGCUAGUUGGUAAGGUAACGGCUUACCCAGGCAACGAUGCAUAGCCGACCUGAGAGGGUGAUCGGCCACACUGGAACUGAGACACGGUCCAGACUCCUACGGGAGGCAGCAGGAGGGGAUCUUCCUCAAUGGGCGAAAGCCUGACGGAGCAACGCCGCGUGAGUGAUGAAGGUCUUCGGAUCGUAAAACUCUGUUAUUAGGGAAGAACAUAUGUGUAAGUAACUGUGCACAUCUUGACGGUACCUAAUCAGAAAGCCACGGCUAACUACUGG